rnacentral:rRNA from 1 species
AGUGAACGCUGGCUGUAGGCCUAACACAUGCAAGUCGAACGGCAGCACAGGAGAGCUUGCUCUCUGGGUGGCGAGUGGCGGACGGGUGAGGAAUACAUCGGAAUCUACUUUUUCGUGGGGGAUAACGUAGGGAAACUUACGCUAAUACCGCAUACGACCUACGGGUGAAAGCAGGGGACCUUCCGGCCUUGCGCGAUUGAAUGAGCCGAUGUCGGAUUAGCUAGUUGGCGGGGUAAAGGCCCACCAAGGCGACGAUCCGUGGCUGGUCUGAGAGAAGGAUCAGCCAAACUGGAGGUGAGACGCGGACCAGACUCCUACGGGAGGCAGGAGGGGGGAAUAUUGGACAAUGGGCGCAAGCCUGAUCCAGCCAUACCGCGUGGGUGAAGAAGGCCUUCGGGUUGUAAAGCCCUUUUGUUGGGAAAGAAAUCCAGCUGGCUAAUACCCGGUUGGGAUGACGGUACCCAAAGAAUAAGCACCGGCUAACUUCGUGCCAGCCGCCGCCGUAA